rnacentral:rRNA from 1 species
GGACUACCGGGGUUUCUAAUCCUGUUUGCUCCCCACGCUUUCGCGUCUCAGCGUCAGUCACGUCCCAGCGAGCUGCCUUCGCCAUUGGUGUUCCUCCUGAUAUCUGCGCAUUUCACCGCUACACCAGGAAUUCCACUCGCCCCUUCCGGACUCUAGCCUCGCAGUAUCCACCGGCAUUCCAGGGUUGAGCCCUGGACUUUCACAGCGGACUAACGAGGCCGCCUACACGCUCUUUACGCCCAAUAAUUCCGGACAACGCUUGCACCCUACGUAUUACCGCGGCGGCUGGCAC